rnacentral:tRNA from 1 species
GCUUGCUUAGCUCAGUUGGUAGAGCAGCUGAUUUGUAAUCAGCAGGUCGGGAGUUCGAGUCUCCCAGCAAGCUCCA